rnacentral:tRNA from 1 species
GGGGACGUCGUCUAAAAGGCAGGACGGCAGGCUCCAGACCUGCUGGUUGUGGGUUCAAGUCCCACCGUCCCCA